rnacentral:rRNA from 1 species
GACGAACGCUGGCGGCGUGCCUAAUACAUGCAAGUCGAGCGGAUCUCAGGGAGCUUGCUCCCUGAGAUCAGCGGCGGACGGGUGAGUAACACGUGGGUAACCUGCCUGUAAGACUGGGAUAACUCCGGGAAACCGGGGCUAAUACCGGAUAACACUUACCCCCGCAUGGGGGAAGGUUGAAAGGUGGCUUCGGCUAUCACUUACAGAUGGACCCGCGGCGCAUUAGCUAGUUGGUGAGGUAACGGCUCACCAAGGCGACGAUGCGUAGCCGACCUGAGAGGGUGAUCGGCCACACUGGGACUGAGACACGGCCCAGACUCCUACGGGAGGCAGCAGUAGGGAAUCUUCCGCAAUGGACGAAAGUCUGACGGAGCAACGCCGCGUGAGUGAAGAAGGUUUUCGGAUCGUAAAACUCUGUUGUUAGGGAAGAACAAGUGCCGUUCGAAUAGGGCGGCACCUUGACGGUACCUAACCAGAAAGCCACGGCUAACUACGUGCCAGCCGCCGCCGUAACAC